GGGCAAUUAGCUCAGUUGGUUAGAGCGCAUCGUUUACAUCGAUGAGGUCACAGGUUCGAGCCCUGUAUUGCCCA
rnacentral:tRNA from 2 species